AACGCACCUUGCACCCCUUGGCAUUCCGAGGGGUACACCCGUUUGAGUGUCGUGAAAUCAUCAAAAAAACCUUUUCUUCUUUUGAUCUUUUCUUGAUCAGGAAAAGGAUUUUUUGGACUUGGAGGUUCCAUGCUUGCUUUCAAAGGUGAAAGUGAGCUCCUCUCAAAUAAAUUAGUGGGGUCCGCUUUGCUGAUCCUUGAUGUGAUAAGAUGUUUCUACAUUUUGGAUUUUAGCACUGUCCCUUGGAUGCCUGCUCCUAACCGUCUUUUGGACAAUGAUGGUGCUCCGGUCCUUGUUGCCAUCUACACGUUGGCGGAAGGGGCUGGAACCACAAAAGAAAAAAACCUUGACCUCAAAUCGGGUGAGACUACCCGCUGAACUUAA
rnacentral:misc_RNA from 2 species